UAGGGUGGCCAUGCAUCCUGGUUUGCCUGGGACUGUGCCAGUUUGGGCACCCUGGGGAACCCCUUAGUCCAGGGGAAGCCAGG
ensembl:miRNA